rnacentral:piRNA from 1 species
UACCGUUUAUCAUGAGGCCCCUGCUUAUU